CUGUGAAACAAGAUACAGACUAGCGGCGGACGGGUGAGUAACACGUGGGUAACCUGCCCAAGAGAUCGGGAUAACACCUGGAAACAGAUGCUAAUACCGGAUAACAACAGAUGAUGCCUAUCAACUGUUUAAAAGAUGGUUCUGCUAUCACUCUUGGAUGGACCUGCGGUGCAUUAGCUAGUUGGUAGGGUAACGGCCUACCAAGGCGAUGAUGCAUAGCCGAGUUGAGAGACUGAUCGGCCACAUUGGGACUGAGACACGGCCCAAACUCCUACGGGAGGCAGCAGUAGGGAAUCUUCCACAAUGGACGCAAGUCUGAUGGAGCAACGCCGCGUGAGUGAAGAAGGGUUUCGGCUCGUAAAGCUCUGUUGUUGGUGAAGAAGGACAGGGGUAGUAACUGACCUUUGUUUGACGGU
rnacentral:rRNA from 1 species